rnacentral:rRNA from 1 species
GAUGAACGCUAGCGGCAGGCUUAAUACAUGCAAGUCGAGGGGCAGCAUGAUUGUAGCAAUACAAUUGAUGGCGACCGGCAAACGGGUGCGGAACACGUACACAACCUUCCAACAAGUGGGGGAUAGCCCAGAGAAAUUUGGAUUAAUACCCCGUAACAUAGCGAUGUGGCAUCACAUUGCUAUUAUAGAUUUUUCGCUUGUUGAUGGGUGUGCGGCUGAUUAGAUAGUUGGCGGGGUAACGGCCCACCAAGUCUACGAUCAGUAGCUGAUGUGAGAGCAUGAUCAGCCACACGGGCACUGAGACACGGGCCCGACUCCUACAGGAGGCAGCAGUAAGGAAUAUUGGACAAUGGACGCAAGCCUGAUCCAGCCAUGCCGCGUGUGUGAAGAAGGCCUUAUGGUUGUAAAGCACUUUAAGCGAGGAGGAGGCUACUUUAGUUAAUACCUAGAGAUAGUGGACGUUACUCGCAGAAUAAGCACCGGCUAACUCUGUGCCAGCCGCCGCCGUAAUAC